UAUAUACACAGAGCUGUUUGCUGCUGGCAUCUAGGCAGGUGAUAUUACUUGGCUAAACUCUUGUAUGAGAACAUCUACAGGAUUUCCUGGAUUUCCCUGGAUUUGGCAGGCGCAACCCGGUGCUGCAGGGCAGAGUGAGGCCAUGCAGGGAAGCUGCUUGACAUUGAAAACAUCGGGGGGGGGCACAUGCCCCCCCAAAUGUGGGAGGCUGCAGCUGUUGUGAGGGAACAGAAUUCCCAGGAAAGAACAGCUGCAGGAGGUACCCUGGCAGGCACCAAAGCACCUUGAGAGGAGAGAUGAAAGCCCAAGGAAAAUGCAAAUGAAAUACGUGAGUUUGGACUGGGUUUAUAUUAACCUCUCAGCCACCGGAGUACAGUCUUCAGAGCUGAACUUGGGAAGCCUCAUGCCUCCAUUUUCUCCUCAAAGCUGGGCUCUAAUGGAAGUCUCCUGAGCAUGACAGGAGGUGACACAAUGUUUUUGAAUUUUCUGUUAUGCUAAGUCUUGAUAUUUGGACUUUUCAUCUCCAUUUGGGACAAAAACAGGUGUUGAAAUAUCAGAAUUGCCCAUGGGAGAGAGACUGAGCUUUUUAAUUGGUGCUACUCACUUAUAUCCUAAACACACAGCCCCUGACAUGUCUGCCUGCCCACGCAUACAUCUCUGGUAGAUGGCAGGAAAGCUGUGCUAAAAGCACAAAACUCUCAUGAGAAGUGUAUACUUUCUUCAAGCAUAAAGAAAAGCUGCUUUGAAACAAGCCCAUUUUGAUUCUGCCACAGGCCCGUUUUCAAGUGUAAACCUCCAUAUUUACUUGCUAUAGCCUUGACUGGUGAGGGUUAUCCUUUCCCUUCCAUGCUGCAAUAGGUGAAGGAGCUGUAGUUCUCCCAUUCAUUUUGCACAGCUCACUCCUUCCACCUGUACUCCUUUCCCUCACAAUCUUUCCUCAGCACUGCAGCCAUCUUUGGGUCCCUCCCCUCCUUGCUGUUUUCUCCCCACUGGCUGCUUGUUCUAAAGCCCCUCCUCGUGGGCAACUGGUGCAUCCUGACUCAGGUGGGGCAUUUGCUCCCCCCCGCCCCUUCCCCAGUGGCCAGUCAGUGACCAGUCACUUGUGCUGACCAGGAAUUUGCAGUGGCUCUUCUCCUGGCACCCCACUCCCUGACUGGCGCUCUCAGGGAGGGGCACCAGUGCUCCAGCCUGCCCCACUGCCCGUUACUUAAGCGGGGAACGUUCGCUGUCAGGGGGUGCACCAGCACUCUCAAGGGAGGCACGUGCACCCCCUAUUCAUUGCCACUGCCCCUCCCUAUGCUGUCUUCUCCUUUGGCUGCAGAGGGUCUGUGACAAUGAGGGAGUGGGAAGAAUGCCCAUUGCCUCUGCAAGCCCUGGUAGGUUCCUGUCCAUGUGGUAGCAGGUAGAGCAGCCCUAUAGGAUCCUGAGUCUCAGCAUCGUCUUUAGGGUGGGGCCUCUUUCCCAUCCCAUCAAGAAGUUGCUUAUGUCUCUGACUCCUCCCCAGCUCCUUGGUACCUGCUGUGUUACACACCACUGCAAGGAAACUGCAUGUAACCGGGCCUUGCUUGCCUCACUGAAGUUACAGCAAAGGAUUUUUUGAAGCCAAAGCAAAUAAAUUAUUCCAUUUAAUUUGGGGGCAUCAAUACUAGAAUGCUGCCUCUCUAAGCACCAGCUGUGUUUGGCUCCAUGCCAACUUAGGCCAUUUGUGUAGAGUUCCACCUGAUCUCAGGACUAGGCCUAGGGGCCUAGGACUCUAAGUUCAUCUGGUGUCUUCUUGGUAUGGGAUAUAUCCCAUGGGGUAUGGGAUAUAUGGCAGCAAGAACUGUGAGACACAAUCUGUCUGCUGCUAGUUUCCUUUCUCUCAAAAUUCUUUCCAGCUGCAUAAGCAGACAUCAUGCCAUAUGUGAGAUGCAGCCACCUCUGAGAAGGAGUUUGACAACUGUCCUAAGCUUGGAACAGCAAGCAAAGAAGAAUGCCAACUCCAAUAGUGUUAGACUGAAAGUAGCUUGGUAACAACUCUCACAAAAUAAGUCUCUAUUUGCCUUCUUGGGACAAAGCUGUGGGUAAACCUGGGUCCUCACUACUAGUCUUCCACACACUGUCGAACCAAAUUAUUCUAUGCCCACUCCGCUAAAUAUCUAGGCACUCACUGGUUUAUCUAUUUCAAGCUGAUCUUACUGCUCAUUAAGUUCAGAGACACUUUAAAUUCUGUAACCAGCCUUAUCUCUUGAGUAGCCCGUGCUGGUACUGUGAAAGCAUGGGGUGGAGGAGUGGUUCAGUCCAUCUGGCCCACCUUGUCCCCUGAGGCAGGCAAGAUGCAUCUGCAGAACACAUUCCAAACCCACUGAUAGAAGUGAACAAAACUGUUGUUUCAACAAAAAGUGCAAAUUCACUCUUUAAAAUAUCCCAAAAUUCAUGUUCUUCCACAAUUAAAACAAAAGAGGGAGAGCAAGAGCAUGCGUGAUCAGUUGGGUAAUAUUUUAUUGAUAUAUUUACAAUUUUAAAACAAUUUGGAAGUCUCUAUCAUCAUAAUGAAAUAAAUUCUA